UGGGGAAUUUUGCACAAUGGGGGAAACCCUGAUGCAGCGACGCCGCGUGAUUUAGAAGGCCUUCGGGUUGUAAAAAUCUUUUUUACGGGAUGAAAAUGACAGUACCAUAAGAAUAAGGUCCGGCUAAAUACGUGCCAGCAGCCGCGGUAAUACGUAUGGACCGAGCGUUGUCCGGAAUCAUUGGGCGUAAAGGGUACGUAGGCGGCCUAGUAAGUUAGAAGUGAAAUAAUAUAGCUCAACUAUAUAAAGCUUUUAAAACUGCUAGGCUUGAGAGAUGGAAGGGAAAGUGGAAUUCCUAGUGUAGCGGUGAAAUGCGCAGAUAUUAGGAAGAAUACCGGUGGCGAAGGCGACUUUCUGGUCAUCAUCUGACGCUGAGGUACGAAAGCGUGGGUAGCAAACAGG
rnacentral:rRNA from 1 species